GGAAUGUAUAGCAAUAGCUGAUUGCACCAACAAAUAGUUGAUGCAAUAUUGACUCUGUCAAAUAAAAUUCUAGGUAGAAUUAUGAUAAUGACAUUGUCUGCCUAUAUGUCUUGACCAAAUUACGUGCCAGCAGUCGCGGUAAUACGUAGAAGACUAGUGUUAUUCAUCUUUAAUAGGUUUAAAGGGUACCUAGACGGUAAAUCAAGCCUUCACAGGGACUAAUUUACUAGAGUUACUUACGAGGGGGUAUUAAAGUACUGCAGGUGUAGAGAUGAAAUUCUGUCAUACCUCUUUUCAAAAGAAAAAUUAUGGCACAGGUAUAGGUGAAAGCAUCCCCUUAUGUGAUAACUGACGUUGAAGGACGAAGGCUUUGUGUCGCGAACAGGAUUAGAUACCCCAGUAGUCAAAGCAGAAAAUGAUGAAUGUCAUAGAUUAGAUAAAUAGUUUAUUCUAUAAAUGAAAAUGUAAGCAUUCCACCUCAAGAGUAAUUUGGCAACAUUGGAACUGAAAUCAUUAGACCGUUUCUGAAACCAGUAGUGAAGUAUGUUGUUUAAUUUGAUGAUCCGCAAAAAACCUUACCACAAUUUGAAUAUUUAUAUCUAUUUUUUUUUUUCGUAAAAAAAUAAAAAGGUAAUAUAUUUACAAGCGUUGCACGGCUGUCUUCAGUUAAUGUCGCGAGACUUUGGUUAGUUCCAUUAAAUUAACGUAAACCCUUACUUUAUUUUUAUAUGAAGUAGUUCCCCGCUAUAUUGGAUAUGAUAACA
rnacentral:rRNA from 1 species